AGCACCACGUCAACUACAGUUGGUCUUCGAUGGAAUGAAUGGUCUGAAGAAGAUGACGUAGGUGAUCCUCCUCUGGUAGGAUAUGAUGUCUUUGUAAAGAAGGAUGGUGACUGGGUAACAGAUCAGAGAGUAGAUCAACUAACAACAUCAGCCAUCGUUAGUAACCUGACACCCGACACAGAUUACAGGUUUUGUGUAGCAGCAGUGAGGGAAGGAACAGGUGGAACAGGACCCGAGUCUCCUAGGAGCGACACAAUAACUCUCUGUAGAAAACCCAGUGCUUCUCCAACUGGACUACAAGUUUCAGCCAUCAACCCUAAAGAGCUAGAGGUGACAUGGGAGCACCUCCCGUCGGAAUCAGCAGAAUGCAGGAGUGGAGUGACCCAUUAUAUGAUCUACUACGC